GCAGGGCCGUGGCCUGGCGUCGCCGGUCACGCGGAGACCGAAAGCACAGCCAGGACCUCGUCCGCAUCCCAGGGACACGAAGCACGUGAAUAAAACGCAGGCGUGCUCCAGUCCUCGCUUGGCAUGUGCUGAAGAGACAGCCACAGACCCAGCCAGGCUGCCCUGCCGGUGGGGCGGCCGCUCUCUGUCAUUUCAAGAAACUCGCUUUCGUUUUCCGGCCUGAAGAGCAAACUGAGGCAAGGUGGGCCGGUACCUUGGGAAUAAUGGACGAUCACAACAAAGCACAAAGAAGGAAAGUUUAUUCUUCCCCUUUGACAGGCGGAAAGGGGCCUGCACGCAGCCGUUGCAUAAUUCUUGGUUCUUGACAUCUCGGGGCACCAGCAUCUCAUGUCUUCCGGUGGCCGCACGAUAACCGUGUAUCUGGCUGGGCUUGGCGGCUCAGCCUGUCAUCCCAGCACUCUGGGAGGCCCAGGCGAGAGGACUGC